rnacentral:rRNA from 1 species
UACAGGGGGGGCAAGCGUUGUUCGGAUUUACUGGGCGUAAAGGGCGCGUAGGCGGCCACCGCAAGUCGAUUGUGAAAUCUCCGGGCUUAACUCGGAAAGGUCAACCGAUACUGCGGGGCUAGAGUGCAGAAGGGGCAACUGGAAUUCUCGGUGUAGCGGUGAAAUGCGUAGAUAUCGAGAGGAACACCUGCGGCGAAGGCGGGUUGCUGGGCUGACACUGACGCUGAUGUGCGAAAGCUAGGGGAGCGAACGGG